UACGUGCCAGCAGCCGCGGUAAUACGGAGGGUGCGAGCGUUAAUCGGAAUAACUGGGCGUAAAGGGCACGCAGGCGGUGACUUAAGUGAGGUGUGAAAGCCCCGGGCUUAACCUGGGAAUUGCAUUUCAUACUGGGUCGCUAGAGUACUUUAGGGAGGGGUAGAAUUCCACGUGUAGCGGUGAAAUGCGUAGAGAUGUGGAGGAAUACCGAAGGCGAAGGCAGCCCCUUGGGAAUGUACUGACGCUCAUGUGCGAAAGCGUGGGGAGCAAACAGGAUUAGAUACCCUGGUAGUCCACGCUGUAAACGAUGUCGAUUUGGGGGUUGAGCUUUAAGCUUGGCGCCCGUAGCUAACGUGAUAAAUCGACCGCCUGGGGAGUACGGCCGCAAGGUUAAAACUCAAAUGAAUUGACGGGGGCCCGCACAAGCGGUGGAGCAUGUGGUUUAAUUCGAUGCAACGCGAAGAACCUUACCUACUCUUGACAUCCAGAGAACAUUC
rnacentral:rRNA from 1 species